AGUGAACGCUGGCGGUAGGCCUAACACAUGCAAGUCGAACGGCAGCACCGUAAGAGCUUGCUCUUACGGGUGGCGAGUGGCGGACGGGUGAGGAAUACAUCGGAAUCUACUUUUUCGUGGGGGAUAACGUAGGUAAACUUACGCUAAUACCGCAUACGACCUACGGGUGAAAGCAGGGGAUCUUCGGACCUUGCGCGAUUGAAUGAGCCGCUGUCGGAUUAGCUGGUUGGCGGGGUAAAGGCCCACCAAGGCGACGAUCCGUAGCUGGUCUGAGAGGAUGGUCAGCCACACUGGAACUGAGACACGGUCCAGACUCCUACGGGAGGCAGCAGUGGGGAAUAGUGGACAAUGGGCGCAAGCCUGAUCCAGCCAUACCGCGUGGGUGAAGAAGGCCUUCGGGUUGUAAAGCCCUUUUGUUGGGAAAGAAAAGCAGCAGGUUAAUACCCCGCUGUUCUGACGGUACCCAAAGAAGAAGCACCGGCUAACUUCGUG
rnacentral:rRNA from 1 species